UGGGGACACAGACACACAUGGGGACACUGGGAGACAUGGGGACACAGACACUAGGGACACAGCCAGUGUCCCUGGUGUCUGUGUCCCCAUGUCUCUCAGUGUUCCCAUGUCUCCCAGUGUUC